rnacentral:rRNA from 1 species
UACGUAGGGUCCGAGCGUUGUCCGGAAUUACUGGGCGUAAAGAGCUCGUAGGUGGUUUGUCGCGUUGUUCGUGAAAACUCACAGCUUAACUGUGGGCGUGCGGGCGAUACGGGCAGACUAGAGUACUGCAGGGGAGACUGGAAUUCCUGGUGUAGCGGUGGAAUGCGCAGAUAUCAGGAGGAACACCGGUGGCGAAGGCGGGUCUCUGGGCAGUAACUGACGCUGAGGAGCGAAAGCGUGGGGAGCGAACGGG